AAAAAUCAAGAAGAACAGAAUCUGCAAUCAAUUUGGGAAAGAUGUUAAAAGUAAAAUAACUACUGAUGGAAGGAUUUGAAAUUGCUUUGAAAAAAUGGAAGCCAGCAUUUCUUAAUCAAUCUUGGGAUAGUUGGACACCUGAUUUAAAAGGACGACUGAUUGACUUCAGAAUCUGCCAUUAUGAAGCCUCCACAAGAAAGAAAAAUACAACUGAAGCCUUGCUAGGAAAAUUGAAGUCAAUCUUGAAGGAAAUACAAAGAUACCUGGCCUUGGAAUGAAACUUACACCAUCAGCUUUCCUGGUCCUGAGGCCUUUGUACUUGGACUGAUCCACACUAUAAGCAUCCCCAGGUCUUGAAUGCAGAGAGUCAUGGGAUUUCUCAUCCUCCAUAAUCAUGUAAGCCAAUUAUUUUAAUAAAUCCCCUUUCAUGUAUCUAUAUCUAUCUAUCCUAUUGGUCCUGUGUCUCUGGAAAACCCUGACUCAUACAGCAGUGCAAAGAUUUUAUGAGGAGGCAUGCUACCAUAAGACAAAAAAUGGAAAGGGGUUCUGGAAUGAUGAAAGAACAGUCAGACUUCAAUGCAAGUAUACCCAUAAAUAAAAGAAAGAACAUAAAAUUGGAUGGACACAUCCUAGAUUGCCAGGUUGUCUAAUAAAUGAUUGGUUUGGGUGUCACUGCUCUUUUUUGAAAGUGACCAGAGGAGUUUGGUGUGUCCCAGGAGUUGACUUGCCUUAGUACACUCCCUCCACAUUUUGUAAUUAGCUGGUAGCAGUGUGGGGGAGGCAUGGGUGCAAACAGUGUAAUAGAUUUCAGAGAGCUGCCGAUGGAGACUCUUGUAAAUUGCACUUCUAGUAGGUGGAGAAUGGAGGUGCAUUAUCCUCCAAACUAGACUAUAUAUAUAUAUA
rnacentral:lncRNA from 1 species